rnacentral:rRNA from 1 species
GACGAAGGACCCGAGCGUUAUCCGGAUUCAUUGGGUUUAAAGGGUGCGUAGGCGGAUUGAUAAGUCAGUGGUGAAAUCCCAUCGCUUAACGGUGGAACUGCCAUUGAUACUGUCGAUCUUGAAUAUGUUUGAUGUGGGCGGAAUAUGACAUGUAGCGGUGAAAUGCUUAGAUAUGUCAUAGAACACCGAUUGCGAAGGCAGCUCACAAAGCCAUUAUUGACGCUGAGGCACGAAAGUGCGGGGAUCAAACAGG